UGAUCCCUUCCCGAACUCAGAAGUGAAACCUCUUAGCGCUGAUGGUAGUGUGGGGUUACCCAUGUGAGAGUAAGUCAUCGCCAGCUC
rnacentral:rRNA from 1 species